UGGGGAAUCUUGCGCAAUGGGCGAAAGCCUGACGCAGCGACGCCGCGUGAGGGAUGAAGGCCCUCGGGUUGUAAACCUCUUUCAGCGGGGACGAAGCGAAAGUGACGGUACCCGCAGAAGAAGCCCCGGCCAACUACGUGCCAGCAGCCGCGGUAAUACGUAGGGGGCAAGCGUUGUCCGGAUUUAUUGGGCGUAAAGAGCUCGUAGGCGGCUUUGUUAGUCGGAUGUGAAAUCUCACGGCUUAACCGUGAGCGGCCAUUCGAUACUGCAAGGCUAGAGGCCGGUAGGGGGACAUGGAAUUCCUGGUGUAGCGGUGAAAUGCGCAGAUAUCAGGAGGAACACCGGUGGCGAAGGCGGUGUCCUGGGCCGGUCCUGACGCUGAGGAGCGAAAGCUGGGGGAGCAAACAGGAUUAGAUACCCCCGUAGUCC
rnacentral:rRNA from 1 species